rnacentral:rRNA from 1 species
CAUGAGGUAGCUACCAUGCAGUCGAACGGACCGUAUACGCAGCUUGCUGCGUGUAUGGUUAGUGGCAGACGGGUGAGUAAUGCAUAGGAAUCUACCUAGUAGUAUGGGAUAGCCACUAGAAAUGGUGGGUAAUACUGUAUAAUCCCUGCGGGGGAAAGAUUUAUCGCUAUUAGAUGAGCCUAUGUCAGAUUAGCUAGUUGGUGGGGUAAUGGCCUACCAAGGCGGUGAUCUGUAGCUGGUCUGAGAGGAUGAUCAGCCACACUGGAACUGAGACACGGUCCAGACUCCUACGGGAGGCAGCAGUGGGGAAUAUUGGACAAUGGGCGCAAGCCUGAUCCAGCUAUGCCGCGUGAGUGAGGAAGGCCUUAGGGUUGUAAAACUCUUUCAGUAGGGAAGAUAAUGACGGUACCUACAGAAAAAGCCGGGGGAAAACUCCAGAAAAAG